rnacentral:rRNA from 1 species
GCUGGCGGCAUGCUUUACACAUGCAAGUCGAACGGCAGCGGGGGCUUCGGCCUGCCGGCGAGUGGCGAACGGGUGAGUAAUACAUCGGACCGUGUCCUUAAGUGGGGAAUAACGCAUCGAAAGAUGUGCCUAAUACCGCAUAUCUCUCAGGAUGAAAGCAGGGGAUCGAAAGACCUUGCGCUAAAAGGAGCGGCCGAUGUCUGAUUAGCUAGUUGGUGGGGUAAAGGCCUACCAAGGCAACGAUCAGUAGCUGGUCUGAGAGGACGAUCAGCCACACUGGGACUGAGACACGGCCCAGACUCCUACGGGAGGCAGCAGUGGGGAAUUUUGGACAAUGGGCGAAAGCCUGAUCCAGCCAUGCCGCGUGAGUGAAGAAGGCCUUCGGGUUGCAAAGCUCUUUAGUUGGAAAGAAAGAAUUAUNGGUGAAUAACUAUAAUUUAUGACGGUACCAACAGAAAGCACCGGCUAACUACGUGCCAGCAGCCGCGGUAAUACGUAGGGUGCGAGCGUUAAUCGGAAUUACUGGGCGUAAAGGGUGCGCAGGCGGCCUUGAAG